AGAUGUGAGGGUGCUCUGGCUGUGACAUCUGUCACCCCAUUGAUCACCAGGGUUGAUUUGGCUGAUCUGGCUGGCUAAGUGGGUGUCCCCUUCCUCCCUCACUGCUCCAUGCGUGUCCCUCCCAAAACUGUCCUCUCAGUGGAAGAGGACAAUGUCCCAGGAAUUUAUUGAUUUCGUGUCAAAAGCAUUGCAUAAUAAAUAAGUUUAAAAGUGAUGAAAUAAAGGAAUCACAAGCAGUUAAAUUGUUU
rnacentral:snRNA from 11 species